ACAUAGUUUAUACAUAUAUUAUACAGUCGAUGUGGCAGCAGAGGUAUACAAAGUAUGACUAAUGCAGUCUUUUAAAUCAUUUUUGCUUAAAAAAUGAAUAUUUUAAGGGAAAAAAAGGGAGGGGGUUUUAGCCGAUAGGCGAGACAUAUGCAGUAUCGCAAUGCAAAUGUCUCGAGUCCGGCACUCCCCUAGGGUACGGGCUCUAGGGGGUCUUUUGAAGAUUUCCCCCUACCCUCGUA
rfam:Trachymyrmex septentrionalis contig35547, whole genome shotgun sequence.